CUUCAGAGAGCGCUUUGAGAAACCUCCCACAGGUACACGGUCCGUCCCAUACAAGAAAACUAGAGAAAAAUAAAUAAUGUGAGGAUGUGAAGGAAUAAUAAUGAUAUUCCUUAUGUAGAUGCAUCAAGACAUUAAUAUGUUCAAGACGGCACCUACUGAGAAAUUUCCUCUUGUUCUCCUCAGAGAGCUCAAAGAAAACAGUCCAGAAGUUCUUGAUGAGCUCAUCAGAGGCAGAGCACUUUUCAUAGGAAGCACACUAAAGAUGAAGCAGAAAAACUCAGGUAUUACAGAAUAUUUAAAACAUAAAAAAUGUGAACGUUUCUUGAACAUGUUUACCAGCUGAAGUUCCUUCCACUCGUAUUUAGGGGAGCCUUGGAAAAACUGCUGGAGUUCCUCAGGGUGGAACAUGCUCCAGGCAUCAAGUGGACAGCCCUUAUAGAAACCUUCUGAAAAAUGCUCAAACUGACUCUUUACUGACUUGUUGAAAAUGAAGUCUACAUACAAAUCCACA